rnacentral:lncRNA from 1 species
GUAAACAAUCUUAAAUUUAAAACAUGUGUUUGUCUCUUUAUAGGGCAGCUGAAACAGAUUGCCCCGGGGAGCGAUGUUUCUUUAAGCUGCUCAUCUGGAGAAGCUCCCAGUGGACAACUUCUAAUCAACAACACAGUGAGAGUGAAAUUUAAAGGAACAGAAUAUCUACUUAUAAAAAACUUUCAGAAACAGAAUGAAGGCCGAUAUUUCUGCCACAAACAAGAGGACUAUAGAAAUUUGGAACUGAAACCUGCUUCAACAAACGAUGAGACGGUUUUGUUUCGUGGAAGUGAGGGAGAUUCACUUUACCUCUUCUGUAAAAGUAUUCUAAACUCAUUACCAAUGGUCACCUGGUUAUGGAGACCCAACCACGAAGAUAAAAAUAUCAACCUUAGACAGAACCCUACACACUUUGGAAAACGACUAUACCUCAGGAAUUACAACAACGACUUUUCUGCAUCCAUCAGACCUGUAGACUGGAGCGACUCUGGGAAAUAUGAAUGUCAACUUUCCGGCCUUUCACCUGUCAGGACUGUCUUUGAAGUCGUGGUGGUGAGAGUUCAUGCCGACCCUCAGCACCUAAACGAGGGGGAUGAUGUCAAAUUAAAAUGUGACAUUUCUCAUCAGACAUCACAAGUACAACUGUACUGGAUCAACAUGAAGACACAAGAGAACUUUCCAAACCCACAUAAUCUUAAGAAUGUUGAGAUCAGCCAGAUGAGCUGGGCGUGUGCUGUGUUUAACACAUCUGUACUAAAAGCUCUUAUUCCACUAACUCUCAACAUCAGUCAGCCCCUCAGCACAACUGCAACAUUACCAUCUCCGACCACUCACGAUCACACCUCGGCUGAGUCAACAGUUCUGCUACAGUCUAGCAGAAACACCAACGACACUCGCUGGACUACAACAGGAAACACCCCACCUCCAAGAAACACAACAAGGACCGUCUUAAUCAGCAUCUGCACUUCAUUCUUCUUCACCCUUAUUUUAGUGCUCGGUGCUGUGUGCUGGAGGACAUGGAGAAGAAAGAGAAGGAAAGAAGGAGAGAAGCUUUCUGUGAGUGAAAGCGUUACUUAUGCAGAAGUGAGCUUCAGGCAGAGAGCAGAUAAUGCUUCCUCUGAUCACGAGUCUGUUUCUAACAUUGCUCCCGAGGAAAAAGUAGAAGUCCUGUAUUCAACUGUUAACUUAAAAACUAAAAUUGAAAAUUAGAUUACAAAAAUGAAUGUAAAUUACAAAAUAUGUAAAA